rnacentral:rRNA from 1 species
UACGGAGGGUGCAAGCGUUAAUCGGAAUUACUGGGCGUAAAGCGUGCGCAGGCGGUUUGUUAAGUCCGUUGUGAAAGCCCCGAGCUCAACUUGGGAAUUGCAGUGGAUACUGGCAGGCUGGAGUACGGUAGAGGAAGGUGGAAUCCCGGUGUAGCAGUGAAAUGCGUAGAUAUCGGGAGGAACACCAGUGGCGAAGGCGGCCUUCUGGCCAGUACUGACGCUCAUGCACGAAAGCGUGGGGAGCAAACAGG